rnacentral:rRNA from 1 species
CGGAAUCGCCGAGAUGGCUUAGUGCCUUCGGGAACCGUGAGACAGGUGCUGCAUGGCUGUCGUCAGCUCGUGUUGUGAAAUGUUGGGUUAAGUCCCGCAACGAGCGCAACCCUUAUCCUUUGUUGCCAGCACGUAAUGGUGGGAACUCAAAGGAGACUGCCGGUGAUAAACCGGAGGAAGGUGGGGAUGACGUCAAGUCAUCAUGGCCCUUACGAGUAGGGCUACACACGUGCUACAAUGGCAUAUACAAAGAGAAGCGAACUCGCGAGAGCAAGCGGACCUCAUAAAGUAUGUCGUAGUCCGGAUUGGAGUCUGCAACUCGACUCCAUGAAGUCGGAAUCGCUAGUAAUCGUAGAUCAGAAUGCUACGGUGAAUACGUUCCCGGGUCUUUUAACACACCGA